rnacentral:lncRNA from 1 species
AAUUAGUCAUUUUGCCUUUAAAAACCUCUUUAUAGUGAGCGUCAAAGCUUAAAAUGACAUAGCCCUUCAAUAAUUACAGACAGCUGGGGGUGCCGGGGCGCUGAACACCCGCUGGCCCAGAUCAGCUCACGGUCAGGCGGUCGCGCACGGGAGCGGCUCUCGCGGGGGCGAGGGCAGCGGGCUCAGCGCCCCCCAAGGGGAGAGGGACCCGGGGCGCCCGGCGGCGGCGGGCAGGCGGCGCGCGCCCCCGACCUUCACGGGGAGCCCCUCCCGACGCCCCCGCGGACCCCAGCCCCCGACAGACGCCGUCCAGCCGGGCGGGGCGCGGGCGUCCAGGGCG